rnacentral:rRNA from 1 species
UACGUAGGGUGCGAGCGUUAAUCGGAAUUACUGGGCGUAAAGGGCGCGUAGGCGGCCUGCUAAGUCGAACGUGAAAUCCCCGGGCUCAACCCGGGAACUGCGUCCGAUACUGGUAGGCUUGAAUUCGGGAGAGGGAUGCGGAAUUCCAGGUGUAGCGGUGAAAUGCGUAGAUAUCUGGAGGAACACCGGUGGCGAAGGCGGCAUCCUGGACCGACAUUGACGCUGAGGCGCGAAAGCCAGGGGAGCAAACGGG